AGAGUUUGAUCCUGGCUCAGGACGAACGCUGGCGGCACGCUUAACACAUGCAAGUCGAACGAGAGAAGAGGAGCUUGCUUUUCUGAUCUAGUGGCGGACGGGUGAGUAACACGUGAGCAAUCUGCCUUUCAGAGGGGGAUACCGAUUGGAAACGAUCGUUAAUACCGCAUAACAUAAUUGAACCGCAUGAUUUGAUUAUCAAAGAUUUAUCGCUGAAAGAUGAGCUCGCGUCUGAUUAGCUAGUUGGUAAGGUAACGGCUUACCAAGGCGACGAUCAGUAGCCGGACUGAGAGGUUGAUCGGCCACAUUGGGACUGAGACACGGCCCAGACUCCUACGGGAGGCAGCAGUGGGGAAUAUUGCACAAUGGAGGAAACUCUGAUGCAGCGAUGCCGCGUGAGGGAAGAAGGUUUUAGGAUUGUAAACCUCUGUCUUCAGGGACGAAAAAAGACGGUACCUGAGGAGGAAGCUCCGGCUAACUACGUGCCAGCAGCCGCGGUAGUACGUAGGGAGCGAGCGUUGUCCGGAAUUACUGGGUGUAAAGGGAGCGUAGGCGGGAUCGCAAGUCAGAUGUGAAAACUAUGGGCUUAACCCAUAAACUGCAUUUGAAACUGUGGUUCUUGAGUGAAGUAGAGGUAAGCGGAAUUCCUAGUGUAGCGGUGAAAUGCGUAGAUAUUAGGAGGAACAUCAGUGGCGAAGGCGGCUUACUGGGCUUUAACUGACGCUGAGGCUCGAAAGCGUGGGGAGCAAACAGGAUUAGAUACCCUGGUAGUCCACGCCGUAAACGAUGAUUACUAGGUGUGGGGGGACUGACCCCUUCCGUGCCGCAGCAAACGCAAUAAGUAAUCCACCUGGGGAGUACGACCGCAAGGUUGAAACUCAAAGGAAUUGACGGGGGCCCGCACAAGCAGUGGAGUAUGUGGAUUAAUUCGAAGCAACGCGAAGAACCUUACCAGGUCUUGACAUCGUAUGCAUAGCUCAGAGAUGAGUGAAAUCUCUUCGGAGACAUAUAGACAGGUGGUGCAUGGUUGUCGUCAGCUCGUGUCGUGAGAUGUUGGGUUAAGUCCCGCAACGAGCGCAACCCUUACUGUUAGUUGCUACGCAAGAGCACUCUAGCAGGACUGCCGUUGACAAAACGGAGGAAGGUGGGGAUGACGUCAAAUCAUCAUGCCCCUUAUGACCUGGGCCUCACACGUACUACAAUGGCUGUCAACAGAGGGAAGCAAAGCCGCGAGGUGGAGCGAACCCCUAAAAGCAGUCUUAGUUCGGAUUGUAGGCUGCAACCCGCCUACAUGAAGUCGGAAUUGCUAGUAAUCGCAGAUCAGCAUGCUGCGGUGAAUACGUUCCCGGGCCUUGUACACACCGCCCGUCACGCCAUGGGAGUCGGUAACACCCGAAGCCUGUAGUCUAACCGCAAGGAGGACGCAGUCGAAGGUGGGAUUGAUGACUGGGGUGAAGUCGUAACAAGGUA
rnacentral:rRNA from 1 species